rnacentral:tRNA from 1 species
GAGAGGUGACUGAGUGGUUGAAAGUGCUGGUCUCGAAAACCAGUGUAGGGGAAACUCUACCGAGGGUUCGAAUCCCUCUCUCUCC